UACGGGGGGAGCAAGCGUUGUUCGGAUUUACUGGGCGUAAAGGGCGCGUAGGCGGUCGUGACAAGUCACUUGUGAAAUCUCCGGGCUUAACUCGGAACGGUCAAGUGACACUGUCGGACUAGAGUACAGAAGGGGCAACUGGAAUUCUCGGUGUAGCGGUGAAAUGCGUAGAUAUCGAGAGGAACACCUGCGGCGAAGGCGGGUUGCUGGGCUGAUACUGACGCUGAGGCGCGAAAGCCAGGGGAGCGAACGGG
rnacentral:rRNA from 1 species